UCCCUGGUGGCUCAGUGGUAAAGCAUCUGCCUGCAAUGCAGGAGACAUAGGUUCAAUCCCUGGUCAGGAAG
rnacentral:tRNA from 1 species